UUUUUUUUUUUUUUUUUUGUGCUAUGUAUUUCACUGCUGCCAGAACAGCAGAGCAAAAGAACAUAGCUGGAGGAGAAGAUGUAUGCCAAGAUGUCCCUGCAAUGUGAUGGCCCUCAGAAGUGUCACCUUGGUUAUGCAGCCACAAACGAAAACUAGAAGCCUAUUGCUUUUUCCUAACUCAUGGAUAAAUUCUUGGAAGUCUCUUACUUUUGAGCACCCUACAGACUCAGAAAUGAUAAGACAUUUAAAAAAUAACCCUUGAAAGUACUUUUAAUGUCAUGACAUCUGAGAUAAUCACACAGCUUCUGUGACCUUGACUGAUGCUCUUAAGAGAUUGAAAAUGCUCAGAUGGGGGUAUAUAGUCAUGUAAAAGAAAAAUUACUUGGAAUGUAAGAAACACAAUAUUUUAGAUCAUCAGCCUCUAAGAGUAAGACACAGCACAACUCAGGAGUAGACAAGUAAAUGGUCAGCACAGAUUUCUGGACAGCUUCUAGUGCUGGUUCAGAUCAAUCACUGUGGCUGGAGUCAGCACAAAGGCUGGGAACUGAUUGAGAUACUGAUCUAAACAAAUGCUGUUAUGUGGCCUCAUUCAGGUAUCUUAAGAGGGAAGAGGCUUCGCUUCCUUAAUUGGCCAUGUUGGUCAAAGAUGCUGUUGUAGGUACUCAAUGCAUUUGUUCUGAGUGAAAUCUGCCAGGGUGUGUGCAAGGCAUGGCAUGUACAAGGGCAUGUUUAGGAAUCAGGCUGACAGUAGGGAUGAGAGGAGGGAAGCAUGUAGUGCAGAUGAAAAGGCAGUGACAGCUUGAGAUGAACAACAGGAAGGAAUAAUGGUGAGAUAUGAAUAAUUUGUAGAGGUCUGCAGAUUCCUUGGCAUCUGCAAGGAGGCAAAAUGUUGGCAUGUUAAAAAGUGCCUAUUGUAAUUCUUUUAAUGAUACUGCUCUGCGUUAGCUGCUGUGGAAUGUGCUAUCAUUCCAGAUUUCUUCAUAGUUCUGUAAAGAAACCUAAUUUAAUUUUAUAAUUAAACACAUUUUACAAAAGUGACAAUUACUAGCAUCAUACAUUUUUGUUUAAUGACAAAUUAGAUCUCAGAAUGUAAUAUCUUGAGAGUUUUUGUUUUAAUUUAUUUUUUUUAAUCACAGAUUUCCAUUAGGAAUAGAUAAAUAAAAUAUGUACCUCCGUGAACUACUAAAAAUAAUAUGCAACAGUGAGGGAUAUGAGGGCUUUGCUAUUUCCAAGCAUUUCAAAUUAAAUACUUUAAAACUGGGAUGCCAUUGGCAAAAUGUCUAGGUCUCCUGCCUCAGUACUAUGAAAUUAGUUUGUAGCAAAAUCCUACUAUGUCUCAUCAUGUGUAUUCUUUGUUUUCAGUUUUGUCACUUAUCUUAUUUUCAUUGGGGGUUUUAUUUUCUAUGAAUAAACACUGAAUAGCUAUAUUUAUGUAUCCUUAAAAACCACUGUAAAUUAACAUAAUACCACUGAAGAUAAUGAAGCUGAGCAGGGCUCUAACAGCUGAGAUUAGAUACCCUUCUUUGUGCAAAAGAAAUGUCAGUGUAGGACAGGGACUUCAUCUUGAUGAGAGAGUGGUGUAACGUUUUGGGAUGUGAGCCAGAAGCCAGCCAGUGUAAAACUCAGCCUGUGCAAAGCAUUAUAUUCCCUCCAUAUCCCCUUUGCUCUUUCCCUUCUGUAGCUGAAAAAGGAGCACUGCCAACAGCCCCAUUACAACUGGGAAAAGAGAUCUCUUUAAAGAUUUAACCUCUUGUUUUUCUGCAUGUUGGCUUCUGUUCAUUUAAAUAAAUAAAUAAAUAAAAGCUCCCAUUAGUGUUGCGUAAUCAGCCUGCAAUCAGAAACACAAAAGGAAAAUACUGACUGGCUUUUGAACUACAUGUUGUCUCUACAAGUUCUCAAAGAAUUACAUAUUCUUUGUUCUCUUAAAAGGCAGUAUGGCUGUCUCUGGUCUGGUAAUAAAUAAAAAAGGCUAUUGAAUCUUUGUCUAAAAGCUGUGCAAGAACUAGGUGUGUACCUAUUUUUGUGCUUUGGGUACCUGAAUGCUGAAAAACCUAUUAAUACUAAAAUAGAUCACAGAGGUUUAAAAGAUUGAAAGAUAGGCCAAGUGGUUGCUAAGCUUUAGAUUUACAGAUGUCUUUGAAGACCUGACUGAAAUCAUAAUGAUAAAGGAUUUUUUUGCUUAGCAUGCCUGCUACGGUUUUCUCAGACAUCAAGUAUUUUAGGCUCUGUCCAUACUUCUGUUCUGAACUCAUGGCAGCAUAUUCCUGGGGCUGGUUUCUACCCACUUGCCCACAGUGGUGGUAUUUUGUUUUACACAGCAGUAUAAGAAAGGAUUAUACCUCUUAUUUUUCUAAAUGGUGAAAUCUAGAAUCACCAGCAGUUUAAACUCAGUUUAAUUUAAAAACAAUAAUCUUAAAUUUGAAACACAAGCAAAAUUGAAAUAAAUAUUUAAAUCGGACAGUAUCAAAGUUGAUUGUCAUACCAUAUGUUAGCAAGUAAAGGUGAGGCAGUUUGACAAGUAGUUGCAGUGUGUUGUUUUUACCAAUUGGUUAAUUUUCUUUUUUCUUUUAAAGUGCACGGCAGCCCAUGGCUGCCAUUUCUGCUGCUUGUGCUUCAGUACAGGCCAGCUGAACAGAACAUCUAGCUAAGAUCAACAAUGAGAUUAGGUCUUAUUUAGAAAACAUCAUAUAAACCAGCCAAGUAAGCCAAACAGACAAAAGUAAUGUGAACAAAAAACCGCGACUUGAACUCACAGUGAUCUUUCAAGCAAGAUAAGAGAAUGAAUUAAUUAGUCUAACCUUUAGCUGGAAUUGCAAAGCAUUUACCUGCAUACAACUUCAAGGCUUUUGUCUAUGUGGAAACAGUUGACUCCUUAGUGAGGGCUGAGAUGUUCUGAAAGAGGCAUUCUUUGUGUAUUUUCUUGAAUCUGUAGACGUACCAGCUGUAAUGCUUUGCUGAUUUCCUAUCACAGGCUUACUUUAUGAUAGUGGCACCUGAAAAACAGGAUUCUGAAUUGCAUCGUACAAAGUAAGAUUUCCUUACUCUUGGCAAUUUUUCUGUAGCAGAUGUUAGAGAAAUUACAAUGCCACAAAAUUACAGGUGUUCUUUUGUUCUGCCCAAAUUUGAUAUUGAUGUUUUAGAACUCAAUCCCCAGAGACUCAAUGAAUAGGUGGUUUUUAAAAACAGUAGAGUUUCUCCCUGGCUCUUAAAGCUAAUCUAUGUCUGUUUUAAUGUGCAUGAGCUAGCUUAUAGCUCUCUUGCCUCCAGCCUUCUACAGCUAGCAUUAGGCCAUCAGCAAGAAGGGUGAGUAUGAGAAAAUUACUUUUGAGAUCCCUAAAGUUAUAAAUUCUAUCCCAUUUGAUAAACAGAGCUGAGAUUACAGGUCUGAGGGACAUGUAUCUUAGCCUGUUAUUCCCCAAGCAGAUACCUUAACAUAGAUGAAUUAGGGCAUGAUAUUUUGGAGCCCCAGAGCUACCACAUUUCCACUGGAAUUCCUCCUCCAAAUUAAUAGUUUGGAGAAGGGGGAAAAAAGAAGAAGAAAAGAAAAAAUAGGAGUUUAAAGAGAUGCCUGACUUUCUAUUGGUGACUUGUCCCUUCAAGAAUGAAAUUAUCCCAUCAGGACGUGAGGAAAAAAAUAAUCUAACUUGGUGCAGACAAAAUAAGUUUCCCAUAGAAUACAAAGGAAGGGUGAGUUUAAGAUUAUAACUGAAAAAGGCUGUACUUGACCAGAGCAAAAGACCAUUCUGCUCAGUGUGCUGUUUCCAGUGGUUGCGGUAUAUGAACACUUAGGUAAGGGUACAAACAGUGUAAAAAUAGGAUUCUUCCUCUAAUCGCUUUCUCUGCCUCAGGACUGAGCUAGAUGCAUUUAGCAAAUUUAAAUAGAUUUCUUUUCCAUUAGGUUUUUCAGUCUUCCCCAGAGUCCAUGUAAAAUUUAGAAUCUAUUAUGUCCCUUGGCAAGGAGUUCAACAAGGUUGUUAGUCCUUUUUUUAGGUGCCAUUUUUAGCAUUUUUUUUUCACCCUGGCUCCUGUCAUCUCUUUUCUAAACUGAAAAGUCCUUGUUUACUUACUUAUUCUAUGCUUGAAAACAUUCCACUCCUGUAAUCAUCUUCACUUGCCUUAUCUAAUUUUUUUGUUAUUAUCUUUGUUAGGGGACAAGAGCUGCUCAUUGUGUUGAAGAUAGGGACAGACACAAAUUUAGAUACUAACUUAUGAAUCCAAGUUGGUGUAAUCAUAUUUUAAAGAUGCUUACCUUUUUCUGCAACUAUAACAGGUUCUGUUUUGUUCUCUGAUUCUCAGAGAGAGAUUUUGAAGUUUGCAUUUCAAGCACAGAAAUAUUAUAAAUAAAUUACGAGCAUAUUAACUGAAUGUUUACAAGUCAUAGCAAAAAUCUUCAGGCACUGCUCUACAAAGCAAAGCCUCUGUUUACAAAGAAGAGAAUACAAAUAAGCACUCCAUUGAAAUUUUGUCAACAUCAAGUUUAUUUUUUUCUUAGUAUCAAAACUUGAUACGAGUUUUCAACUUUGUCACAAAGAAAAAUAGGCAAAUUUUCAAGACAAAGUAGGGAAUUAAUAGCUUGUAAAUCAAUACAAAUACUAACAGAGCAGCAGCAGCUUCUCUAUUCUGACCAGUAAUGCAACUUUGCUUCAGAGUCAGCUGUGUACUUCUGAAAUUUUUACACUGUUUUUUAAUCUGCACAAGAUGUUGCUUGCUAAAUCUGAAAGUAGAAUCACCUCUGGAUUUUGCAUGGCAUUGCACAAAGACAAACAGGGAAAAAAAAGGGUACCAGAAGAUCUAAGAGAUCUGAUUAACUCUUUAAAUAUUCAAGAGCUCUUACCUAGCUCCAGGAAUAUAUUAAAUGCUGUGUACUGCCGAGAUUUGUGCUCCCUGUCUCUGUUUCUCUCUUUAUAGAAAGGUUUCUCACAUAUAUGUGGGUAAAAUACACUUGAUACUAAGAUUCCUUGUCUGUGCAAACAUUAAUAUGCUUUGAGAAGGAACAUUUUCUGCUUAGAUUGCUGUUCUGUAGCUCUUAGUGUUGUUUCCUGUGUAAUCAUCUGGUGUAAUCAUCCUAUAUCAAGAAGAUAAUAACUCAGUCUAGUUUCUGAACACAUAACUGUAUGUCAAUAGAAAGGAGGAGAUUAUACAAAGUAGAGGAUAUGCUUCCUAAAAAUUGCUUUAUCGCGCUGUGGACUUUGCUGGACACCUGAAAAUAUUCACUUUUUAAAGUUACCUAUGUACAACUUUUCCUCAUUUGUUUUGCUUAGAUGUUUAAGCCCUAUUUCCAAAUUAAGCAGUUCACUGAAUGCACUUGAUACUGUUAAAUAUUUAACAAUAAAUAUCUAACUAUUUCCCAAAUAGUUAGAUUAGACCACAUUAGAUUAGUUAGAUUAGUCCACAUUCCCUGACUGUGUACAGAUCAGUCACACAUACUUGUAGUGUGUCAUAAGAAUUACAGUAAGGAGGGGGAUGCAGAAAUCUCUGGCCUCUGUGAUGCCAUGAAAGACAGAUCCUUGAGUAAUCUGAGUUUUUCACAUUGGCUUGAAUGUGAUGGCUUGAAGUUCUUGGCUGUCUGACAUACAGUUGACAAGACAGCACAGAAUGAGACCCUCUGGUUUUUAAUCACAUAAAAAUCCUGUAUUGCAAACAAACUAAACUCUCUAGAUCACAAGAACGAUGCAUGGUUGCCAUGACAGAAGUCUAUAAGCAUUUGGCAACCUUCAACCUUCAAAGAGCCUACUGGAUUCAAGAAAGCCGAAGGAUCCAUCUGUGACAUGGCUGUCAAAGUGGUGUAGUGGAGAGGGUUCAUCCUCUGACUGGUCAUCAUAUAAGAAUUCUCAACCCAUAUGAGUUGCUAACACAGCAAACACAUUGCAUUUACUGUUGCUGUACCAAUGGUUUUGACCACAGUGACAAAUCACAUCUGCUGCUUAACUGCAUGUGUGAAGGUAGAGCUGAGCUCCGGCUCAACAGGGCGUGACAGACUGUUUCAAGUCUAUCACAUGUGUUGAAAAAUACUUUGUUUUUCAAAUUGCACACAGUGAUAAAGAGGACCCUAACUUCUUCAUUGUAAAGGAUGAAGCAGCAAAAAAAUUGCUAAUUAUAGAAGACAGAACUUCUCAAUUUCUGCUAGCAGGAUUGGAGAAGUCUUCAGUCAGGGCAGAGGGAAAAGACUGAAAAAUCCAGAAUCAAACAUGGGAUUAGAAGAAAGAGGUCAGAAAGGAUAUUGCUUGGGUAGCAAUCUCUUAGAAUAUUCCAUAAAUGUGUCUCUGCUUUAUGUUUGACAGUGGACAGCUUGUUCCCCCAUUCAGGUUGGAAGUUAAAGAUGCCAGAUUUCUACUGUGAAAAUGCAAAGAAUGGAGGAUGUAUGCAUAUAUCAGAAAGUAGUGUGUAUAUAUAUAUUUAUUCUCAAUAUGGGCCUUCCAGCAUGAAAGUCCAGGAUUAAAUUCAUUACCAUAAGUAUCUCUUUCAAAAUGUAUUAGAAAGUCUAUUUUCAGAGUGCAAAACAGCAACAAAAGUCCAUUUCCCAAGCAAUUUCCCCUGUGCUUUAUUGAGAGUAGGAAUGUAUGGUUUUGUGUGUUUGGGAUAUUGAAGGAGCAGCUCAUGUCUCCAGAGGUGAUUGAAGCAUUGGAAUUUAUUUUGAAGUAAUGAGCUUGGAAGAAAAAGAUGGAAAGAGAGUUCUGUCAUUGCUGAAAGUCUUAUAGAAGGAGGGGAGGGUGCUGAGAGUUGAAGAAAAAGUGAGACUACCAGCAAAGGCAAAGGCAGCAUUCUGUCUGACCUUUUCCUCAUGAUCAGUGGGACAUCUUCUCAGUGUUGUAUUCUCCUUUUUAUUUUUUUAGAGCUCCCUCCACCAUCCAGUGCCCUCUUGCUUCUCCUGCUGUUCUCUGUAGCAAUUUAUUGUCCCAGGGAGAAAACCAAAGAGCAGCAGGGAGACAGUGUUUGCUGCAUUGUGGGAUCCAGUGUCAUCCACACUGAAGUAAGUGUAAGCAUGGAGCAUGAAUUCAGCUAGCAGAGGAGUUUGGAUCUGUUUGGUUCUAUGUGCAACACCAGGAUGACUUGGAUAGGAAGCAAAGAACACUGCUGGGAAAGCUUUUAUAUAUGUUCUUAAGAGGGAAAAUAAGCGUUUGCUUAUCUGCUGUGUUUAAUUGAGUUGGGAUUAUAAUUGCUCGAGUUUUCAUUCCCGACUGCUUUUGUAAUGGGAACAGUGUUUGCAGUGUGUUUUAGUCUUCCCGGGCUUCACUAUGUGCAUUAAUCUAGCUUUAUGAAGGAUUUACAUUUUAUAUUUUCUCAUAAUAUUUUUUUAUAAGUAACAAAAAGCUCCCCAAGUAAGCCCACCAGGCAAGGCUAUGGACAGUUAAAAGAAAAGGAUAGCUGUCGCAGUAAGGAUUUGUACAGUGAAUGUAGCAAGGUUGGCAAGAAAAGUCAGAAAACUAUUUAUGCUCUCUAAGGGUAACUAAUGGUUUAAUAGUAGAUGGCCUGAAGAAAAUAAUGGAUAUAAAUAAAGUAUGCUUUUAUUCCCCAGCAAAAAAGAUAGAAGAAGAAAAAAUGAAAAAGAAGAAAGAGGCCAAUAGUAUGAAAAGAGCUUUAAAGAUGGAAAAAUGUACAUCAGGGAAAGAGGAGUUGUUCAGUUUAUGCCACCAUUUUAAUAGACCUAGAGGAUUUCAUUUGACUUGUAACCUUUUGACACAAGCCAAGAUUUCCUAUUUUGGAUAAUAAAUGUAUGUUGGAUGAGUAAAUGCCUCUUGUAUCUAGAUACAAAUGCCACUUUUAUGUUGGAAAAUGUAGUGGGUUAUGUACAGUAGUGUUGUUGAUAUCAAUGGAUAAAAAUAAGUGGAUUAGUUCUGAAAAUAAUGAUGAAUACUGUUAUGGAAAUAUCCCGUGAAAUAAUGAACUGGGGGAUGUGAAAUGUAUCUACAUGUGGAACAAACUGAAAUAUGAUUUUUUAAAUUAUUUAACUGGAUUCCUCUCUCACCUUUCCUAUCUAUCUAUACAAACAUAACCUCAUACAGUAUUAAAGAAAGAGGGAGAGUCCAAAGUUUAAAUAAAAUUCUCCAUGGUCAUAAACUAACCUGUAGCAUUGGAAAAAUAGGAAGAAAUAUUACUUGAGGAAAAACUAUUCUGUAAAUAACUAAUGCACAGUGCUGCAUCUUUUGCUGAAACUGUUACUGCCUGUAAGCUGCACUAGAUGGGCAGAACAUUUAGGGUUUCAUCUUUGUUGCAGUGUUUUGGUUGACUAUUUUAAUCUUUUGAGACCUUGACUAUUUCAUAUUUUUGAUAUUUCCCACAUUUAAUAUCUAUCUAAUCAAAGCAUGAGCCUUGAAAGUUGCAUUUGCUAAGGCAUUAAUUAUUUCCUUUCUAACAAACAAAAAAAUACAUCAUCUAUCACUGAUAUUCACAGAACAUUAACUAAGUUUUAGUUCAUCCAAAUUUAUCCUGAGGCUCAAGUCAUUCUUAAACCCUGUACUAGUCAAUCAAGUCCACUUUAAAAUUCAGAUCAUCCAUUUUAUGGGUUUCCCUUGGUGCUAUUUGUCAGAAGAUUUAAAGUCACUUGAAAAUUUGUACACCAUGGUAAACCUCAGUUAUCAAUUGCCAUUUUUUUCUUUGCCUGCACCUUUUUUUCCCCUCUAAAGCAAUUAUCACCCAUUUCUAUACAUACUAACUUCUUGAUAUGAUUCAUGAUGGCUAUUUUUAAAAUAUAUGGUGAUCAUUGUGCAUCAUGAAGAUGAGAGCCUUUACCCACGUUUGAGAUUAUGAAAUGUUUUGAGAAAAGCUCCUAUUCUUUCUCUGUAUCAGUAAAUCUCGCAUAUCACUUCCACAAACACAUACAUCUCCUCACAUCCCAAUGCUUCUAGGACCUUGGAGCCAAAGUCCUGCGCAGAUUUAGACCAGCUGUAAAAGUAAAAUAUUUAAAAUAUUUUAAUCUAUUGAUAAGAAGGUCCAAAGAAUGGAUCUUACCCAUUUUUUCCCUUAAAGUCAAAUUGAACGUAUCUUACAUUGUAGGUUUCCAGCAACUUAUUUUGAAUCUAUGUAUGCUUUCAAAGGACUAUUAUUUAUAAACUGUUUUCUUACUUUGCUACUUUUUGUAAUGGAUCAGGGUGUAGAAAUACUGAGGCUGUAUAGGAAAUUGGGCUACUUGCUGGCUGGGAAGCAAUUCAUAUUAGCUACUGUCUACUUCAUCUCCUCUUAUUGUUUGGAGUGGAAAUUAACUCUCCAAUACCUACAGUGCCAUAGGAAACAUAAUCUACUUUUUUAAUAGCUUGUAGAUCAAAUAGCUCAACUCAGGGAAAUGGGUUCCAAUAAAAGCUCCAUUUUUUUAUGCUGGGCAGCAAAUCCAUAUUAUAGAAGCUAUCUUCAUUACUCAUUGGUAUAUAUUGGUAUAACUUAAAGUUUCCUUCAAGCAGUGUUAACAUUUGAUGAUGGAAAAUGAAGGCCAAUAAGCUGUACAGGGUACGUGCUUUGUAAAAUAAAUUGGCCUCUUGGGAACAGGAGAGCUACAACUUCAGUGAUAACGAUUAUGUUUUUAUGGCCCAAGACAGAAAUAAAAUGUUGAAAUGGAAAAUUAAUGCAAAAGCUUAGUAGGAAAAUUAUCAAAAUCUUAGAAUCACAGCAUGUAAAAAGUCAUUGUAAUAUAUCAAAAAAUCUGUUUAUGAAUGAUCAGUUACAGAGAAGCUGAGAGUAAUAA
rnacentral:lncRNA from 1 species